AGUGAACGCUGGCGGCAUGCCUAACACAUGCAAGUCGAACGGUAACAGGCCCGCAAGGGUGCUGACGAGUGGCGGACGGGUGAGGAAUACAUCGGAAUUUGCCCAGUCGUGGGGGAUAACGUAGGGAAACUUACGCUAAUACCGCAUACGACCUAACGGUGAAAGCGGGGGACCGUGCAAGGGCCUCGCGCGGAUGGAUAAGCCGAUGUCGGAUUAGCUAGUUGGCGGGGUAAGAGCCCACCAAGGCGACGAUCCGUAGCUGGUCUGAGAGGAUGAUCAGCCACACUGGGACUGAGACACGGCCCAGACUCCUACGGGAGGCAGCAGUGGGGAAUAUUGGACAAUGGGGGCAACCCUGAUCCAGCAAUGCCGCGUGUGUGAAGAAGGCC
rnacentral:rRNA from 1 species